rnacentral:rRNA from 1 species
GAUGAACGCUGGCGGCGUGCCUAAUACAUGCAAGUCGAGCGAACGGACGAGAAACUCGCUUCUCUGAUGUUAGCGGCGGACGGGCGAGUAACACGUGGAUAACCUACCUAUAAGACUGGGAUAACCUCGGGAAACCGGAGCUAAUACCGGAUCAUAUUUUGAACCGCAUGGUUCAAAAGUGAAAGACGGUCUUGCUGUCACUUAUAGAUGGAUCCGCGCUGCAUUAGCUAGUUGGUAAGGUAACGGCUUACCAAGGCAACGAUGCAUAGCCGACCUGAGAGGGUGAUCGGCCACACUGGAACUGCGACGCGGUCCAGCCUCCUACGGGAGGCAGCAGUAGGGAAUCUUCCGCAAUGGGCGAAAGCCUGACGGAGCAACGCCGCGUGGGUGAUGAAGGUCUUCGGGUCGUAAAACUCUGUUGUUGGGGAAGAACAUAUGUGUAUUUAUCUGUGCACAUCUUGACGGUACCUAAUCAGUAAGCCACGGCUAACUACGUG